GGAUAACUCAGUUGGUAGAGAAGGAGACUCUUAAUCUCAGGCUUGUGGGUUCGAGCCCCAUGUUGGGCA